GGAGGCCACUGCUAUUGGGAUCCGACUAAGCCAUGCGAGUCGAGAGGGUUCGGCCCUCGGCAGACUGCUCAGUAACACGUGGAUAAUCUACCCUUAGGUGGAGGAUACUCUCGGGAAACUGAAAAUAAUACUCCAUAGGUCUAGGAUGCUGGAAUGCACCUAGGUUGAAAGUUCCGGCGCCUAAGGACGAGUCUGCGGACUAUCAGGUAGUAGUCAGGGUAAAGACCUGACUAGCCUACGACGGAUACGGGUUGUGAGAGCAAUAGCCCGGAGACGAUAUCUGAGACACGAUAUCGGGCCCUACGGGGCGCAGCAGGCGCGAAAUCUUCACAAUGUGCGAAAGCACGAUGAGGGGAUCCCAAGUGUUGGUUCGUAAGAGUCAUCUGUUUCUUUGUCUAAAAAACAGAGAGAGUAAGAGCUGGGUAAGACGGGUGCCAGCCGCCGCGGUAAUACCUGCAGCUCAAGUGGUGGCCGCUAUUAUUGGGCCUAAAACGUCCGUAGCCGGUUUAGUAAAUGCCUGGGUAAAUUGUGUAGCUCAACUAUACGAAUACCGGGUAGACUGCUAAACUUGGAACCGGGAGAGGCUAGAGGUACUCCUAGGGUAGAGGUGAAAUUCUGUAAUCCUAGGGGGACCACCAGUGGCGAAGGCGUCUAGCUAGAACGGGUUUGACGGUGAGGGACGAAGCCCUGGGGCGCAAACCGGAUUAGAUACCCGGGUAGUCCAGGGUGUAAACGCUGCUCGCUUGAUGUUAGUCGGGCUCCGAGCCCAACU
rnacentral:rRNA from 1 species